rnacentral:misc_RNA from 1 species
CUCAUGAUUAUGAGAAAAUCAUGUAAUUAAUUAACAAAAUUAAUGGCUUGAUUAAAGCUUAUAAAGGAGUGAUUUAUGGUUGUUGAUAGGAUGCCACAUAUAUAUUGUAUCUUCCCUUAUUAACAUGAAGUCUUAGGUAUUAUGUCAACACACAAGUGAAUGAAGAAACACUUUGAGGUUUUGUGUCUGUGAAUGCAAGCUUUCCGUAGUUGAACCAAGUAAAUCAUUCUCUAUUUUCUCCUACCUUUCUAUCAUUCUAAAUUUCAACACCAAGCAAGACUAAACACCAAUAUCAAGUAUGGUUCCCUUGACUCGUCAGUCCAUCUAUCAGAAUGUUGACAAUGUUUAGAGAUGAUAAGCACAAAGGAGCACAUACCACUGCCAAGAGCACACUUCAUGGUAGUAGUACCUCAUGACCCAACAAAUCCCUUCUAUAUAUUUUAAAACCUGCAUAAAAUUGCAACAAAGAGACAUUAAUAUCUUAUAAAGUACUUAAUUACAAUGAAUUAACCUUUAUGUAGGUUUAUUCAAAGGCCAUAAAAACUUCUAAAUGCCAUUUGGUAUUAUUACAUUCAUUUUUUUCUAAUGUCGGACAGACAAGUAAAAUUUAGCUUACAGAUUUUUAACUAAUACAUAAGAGAGAAGUAUUCAAGUGCUAAACAACAUAUCCGAGCCAUAUUGUUCAGAUAAGAAAAAUUAUAAGUACACAUCCUCACCACAUGCCUCCGAACUCU